UAUUAAGUAUCUUAAAUUAAAGUAAUGAUCUUUUAAAUCAUUUAUAGUAAAAAAAAAAUUUAAAUAUUACUCUUAAUAA
rnacentral:tRNA from 1 species